rnacentral:rRNA from 1 species
CCGACGGUGAGGGGUGAAGGCUGGGGGCGCAAACCGGAUUAGAUACCCGGGUAGUCCCAGCAGUAAACGAUGCCAGCUAUGUGUUGCUGGAACCAUGGGUUCCAGCAGUGCCGAAGGGAAGCCGUGAAGCUGGCCACCUGGGAAGUACGGUCGCAAGGCUGAAACUUAAAGGAAUUGGCGGGGGAGUACCACAACCGGUGGAGCCUGCGGUUUAAUUGGAUACAACGCCGGGAAUCUUACCGGAGGGGACAGCAGUAUGAAGGCCAGGCUAAAGACCUUGCCAGAUCAGCUGAGAGGAGGUGCAUGGCCGUCGCCAGUUCGUACCGUGAGGCAUCCUGUUUAGUCAGGCAACGAUCGAGACCCGCAGUCUUAUUUGCCAGCAUGCCCUUUGGGGUGUAUGGGUACAAUAAGACGACCGCCAGCGCUAAGCUGGAUGAAGGAGCGGGCUACGGUAGGUCAGCAUGCCCCGAAUCCUCCGGGAUACACGCGGGCUACAAUGGUCAGGACAAAAGGUACCGACCUCGAAAGAGUGAGGUAAUCCACAAACCUGAUCUCAGUCCGGAUCGAAGGCUGCAACUCGCCUUCGUGAAGAUGGAAUCGGUAGUAAUCGUGACUCAAAAUGUCACGGUGAAUAUGUCCCUGCUCCUUGCACACACCGGCCG